GACGAACGCUGGCGGCGUGCUUAACACAUGCAAGUCGAACGGAAAGGCCCCUUUGGGGGUACUCGAGUGGCGCACGGGUGAGUAACACGUGUGUAACCUGCCCUUGACUUCGGGAUAACUUCAGGAAACUGGGGCUAAUACCGGAUAGGAAUCCUUGCUGCAUGGUGGGGGUUGGAAAGCUUCGGCGGUUUUGGAUGGACUCGCGGCUUAUCAGCUUGUUGGUGGGGUAGUGGCUUACCAAGGCUUUGACGGGUAGCCGGCCUGAGAGGGCGACCGGCCACAUUGGGACUGAGGUACGGCACAGACUCCUACGGGAGGCAGCAGUGGGGAAUAUUGCACAAUGGGCGGAAGCCUGAUGCAGCAACGCCGCGUGCGGGAUGACGGCCUUCGGGUUGUAAACCGCUUUCAGCAGGGGCGAAGCUUGUGGUGACGGUACCUGCAGAAGAAGCACCGGCUAACUACGUG
rnacentral:rRNA from 1 species